rnacentral:rRNA from 1 species
UGUCCGGAUUUACUGGGUGUAAAGGGUGCGUAGGCGGCUUUGCAAGUCAGAUGUGAAAUCUAUGGGCUCAACCCAUAAACUGCAUUUGAAACUGUAGAGCUUGAGUGAAGUAGAGGCAGGCGGAAUUCCCCGUGUAGCGGUGAAAUGCGUAGAGAUGGGGAGGAACACCAGUGGCGAAGGCGGCCUGCUGGGCUUUAACUGACGCUGAGGCACGAAAGCGUGGGUAGCAAACAGGAUUAGAUACCCUGGUAGUCCACGCUGUAAACGAUGAUUACUAGGUGUGGGGGGUCUGACCCCUUCCGUGCCGGAGUU